AUAUUUCCAGCAGUAGAUGGAGAGUUUUCAUUUUCCGAGGAGCACGAUGAAGAAGAAAAUCAGUUUAAUGAAUUUCGAUGCUUAAUUGAAAAUAUAAAGAGUGCUGGAGCCUGUUCUACUUCGGCUGCUGAAUUUUACACCAAGCUGUGCUCACAUGCUGAUCAAAUAAUGGAAACUAUUCAAAGGCAUUUCCACAAUGAGGAAAUUCAGGUGCUACCCCUUGCACGAAAGAACUUCAGCUUUAAAAGACAACAAGAACUUCUCUAUCAAAGUCUGUGUAUAAUGCCAUUGAGACUAAUUGAACGAGUUUUGCCAUGGUUGA